GGGACAUUUUACCGAAGUUCUUCAGGAGGAGAAGAAAUUCUCCAGGAAUUUCUCAGGGAUGGAAUCAACCAUUUGUAACAGGCAUAGCGUAGCUUCUUUCUUUCUUUUCUAUGGCAGCACCUAGCUGAUGUUUGCUGAUUCUGGAAGGAGACAGAGUCAACCUGAGCUAAUAUUUGGAUGGGGAACCACCUGGGAAUCCCAGGGCUGUUGACUAGACUGGGAAGUCUGGAAGAAAUCCUGCAAGAAGACAGUGACAACACACUUCUAUACCAUGGCCAAGAAAAGUUCACAGAAGAAGAAGUAGAAGAGGAACCUGCCAUGGAUGCAAAAACUGGGUCUGAAUUUCCCAGUGGGAAUAAUGAGCAAGUGAAAGAAUGAAUGCUGAGAGAGAAGAAUGCCGUUGUAUUAAGCUCCAUCACAAUGGGAGGUAAACCUCAACCAUUUAUAAAAGAGGAAAGAUCAACAGUGUACCUGGUCUCCUUUUGGUCUACAAAGCAGAACUCAAAGAUGCCUCUACCUUGAUGUGCCCAGCAAACUUUCUAAUAAGAUCACAUUCUCAGCUAGGCUUUAAGGGGCACACAAAAACAAUGGGAGAAGCCUGGAUACUUCCCUUGCCGCCUUGUUGAGUUUGAUAAAGGAAGCAGAGUUCUCCACAGAGGUAGCCUUCCUGUGCAACUGCUUCAAUUAAAAGUAUGCUGGUAGAAAUCAAAAGCUGCAAGCUAUGGAUUUUCUAAAAACACACUCGGUGACUUUUAAGUUUGCUUUCUGACUUAAAUCAUAUCUACUAACAAGGUUUUGCUUUGUUCUAUGAAAAUGCUGGAGUUGCACUAUAUUGGAGUAGACUGUAAUCAAUUUUUGACUCACAUAUGCUGGCACAGUGAUAUGGGUAAUCCUAGUUUGCUUUCUGCUUAAAACAGCCGUCCCCAAUUUGAUGUUCUCCAAACGUACAGACUUCAGCCCCCUGAAUUCCCUAGUACCAUGGCAUGGCGAUUAAUUAGAAUUCUGGAAUUGAUGUUAACUCAUUUGGAGGACAUCAAGAUUGGGAAAGGUUGAUUUAAAAGAUCAAAGUAGGCCAAAACCCAAGAAAUCAUGUUAUGCCUUAACAGAAUGUAAGAACACAACUACUGUUAGAGACUGAAACCUUCAUAUCCUGAGUUAACAGUAAACAUCCUGUUUGCAUGUGGCCAACAAAAUUCAUCUGUGAAGUCCACAAUCCGGAUGUGAUGGCAAACAUUUGCCUGUGCCUUUAGUGAUAGAAUAUAGUAAUCAGGGUUACAAGCAACUGCUAAUGUUGGUUUCCAUGAAUUUAUGUAAUAUCUUUUAAGUCAAUUUAAAUUAGAGGUCGCCAGUUUUUCUUGUGAGAGAAAAUACCACAGUAUGGUAUGAGAAACUGAGAAGUACUUCUUCCACACUAUGCAUAAUUUUAAACCCUCUUGCUCCCAUUCUUAUCUUUUUCUUAAAAAAAAAAUUAAACUAGGUAACUUCUGAACUCACUUCGACCUAAAAAAUGCGCAUGACUGAA